GCGGGAAUAGCUCAGUUGGUAGAGCGCAACCUUGCCAAGGUUGAGGUCGCGAGUUCGAGUCUCGUUUCCCGCU
rfam:Stenotrophomonas panacihumi strain JCM 16536 contig_13, whole genome shotgun sequence.